rnacentral:rRNA from 1 species
AACCCAACAGCUAGCCCACCUUCUAAACACAAAGCACAACUAUAAAUACACCCGAAUAUACUACAUUAUAAAAACAAACCAUUUUACCCCCCUAGUACGGGCGACCGAACAGGGGCUCUGGAGCUAUAGAGAAAGUACCGCAAGGGAACGCUGAAAGAGAAAUGAAACAAACCAGUGAAGUAAAAAGAAGCAGAGCUCCUCCCUCGUACCUUUUGCAUCAUGAUUUAGCAAGANUGAACCAAGCAAAGAGACCUUUAGUUUGGCCACCCGAAACUAGGUGAGCUACUCCAAGACAGCCUGAUAGCAGGGCCAACCCGUCUCUGUGGCAAAAGAGUGGGAAGAGCUUCGAGUAGAGGUGACAGACCUACCGAACCUAGUAAUAGCUGGUUGCCCGGGAAGUGAAUAGCAGUUCAGCCCCCAGACUUCUAUAGUUUCAACUGGCAAAAGCCUCCGCCUGAACAAUUAGAAAUCCGGGGAGUUAGUCAAAUGGGGUACAGCCCUUUUGACUCAGGAUACAACCUCACUAGGAGGGUAAGGACCAUA